GCCGGGCAUGGUGGCUCAUGCCUGUAAUCCCAGCACUUUAGGAGGCUGAGGUGGGUGGAUCACCUGAGGUCGGGAGUUUGAGACCAGCCUGGCCAACAUGGCGAAACCCCAUCUCUA
rnacentral:SRP_RNA from 1 species